UGCGUAGGUGGUUUUCAAAUGUGGUACUUAAAAAAUCUGAGCGUAACUGAGAAACUAAGUACUAAACAAAAAACUAGAGGAUAAAAGAGGUUCGUUGUAUUCUUAGUGGAAAGGUAAAAUUUUAAGAUACUAAGAGGACAUCCUAUAGGCAAAGGCAACAAACUAAAAUAUCACUGACACUGAGGCACAAAAGCAUGGGUAUCAAACA
rnacentral:rRNA from 1 species